CACUGAAAUCUGAUGGCUCCCUUUGUAUCAUGGAAGCUCUUACAAGAUCACAGCAAGGUGAAGGAGUGAUGCCAGCUUCCUCUCCCAAGCUUGAAGAUUUCCUGGGUGGUGCAACCAUGGGAGCCCACCAGUAUGGAUCCAUUGACAGGGAAGCUAUGUCUCUAAGCUUGGACAACAUGUAUUACCAGCACAACCUAGGCCAUGGGAACUUAUGGAUGGAUUUAAGCAAUUUGCCAGAGUUGAAGAGCCCAGAGUUAUUAGAAAACAACCUUUAUAGUUACAUCCACCAAUACAUCCAGUCAUUAGAGAGGGAUGCCAGGUUGGAGAUGAUUGAAGGAAUAAAUGAGAAGAUCUGAAAGUGUUUCAAAAAUCUGAAAUUAUCAAAUAGUAACUUUGCUAAAAUAUGUAAGCAUGCUUCUGUUGCUUGGUGUCAAUCCAUUCUUAUUAGUUUGGCCUUGAUCACACCAUUACCUGCUGAAAACGUAAGCAUUCAAGCUCCUUCAACCGUAGCUGCUAGUUCAGAACAUGGCCUGCUGCUUUAUGUUGAUCUACAAACCAAUGACCUAUGGAGUUCAUCAUUUAAAGAUCCAGUUCUUCAAAAGGCUCUUGAAACGAAAUGGAGCCAAGUUCUGCCCAUAAUGAAGCAUGUCCAUAUCAAGCAAGCAUCAGAAAAAAAAAUAUGGAGGCAGCCGCCACUUUACUAAGAUGCACCUACAACUUUUACCAAGAGAGCUCAUGUGGUACACUUCCAUCAGGUAUUAACCUGCAUACUGUACCAUCUCAUUUAACAAUAGAAGGGCCAUGCCAACCAUCUAAGGACAAUGUCGACUACCUUGAUUUGAGCGCCCCGAGGAAGCUUCUCUUAUGGGCAUACACGCUGGUGCAUGGUCGUUACUCAAACAUUCUACCAUUUGUAAAGCAUUGUAAAGAAAAUGAGAAGUUUGCCAGAGUUGAAGAGCUUAAAGUUAUCAGGGAUGUGCACAGGAUUAACAACAGGCAGUUCACGUGUCAAACAGCAGGCAGCA